GGUUAAGCGACUAAGCGUACACGGUGGAUGCCCUGGCAGUCAGAGGCGAUGAAGGACGUGCUAAUCUGCGAAAAGCGUCGGUAAGGUGAUAUGAACCGUUAUAACCGGCGAUGUCCGAAUGGGGAAACCCAGUGUGAUUCGUCACACUAUCGUUAACUGAAUACAUAGGUUAACGAGGCGAACCGGGGGAACUGAAACAUCUAAGUACCCCGAGGAAAAGAAAUCAACCGAGAUUCCCCCAGUAGCGGCGAGCGAACGGGGAGCAGCCCAGAGUCUGAAUCAGCUUGUGUGUUAGUGGAACGGUCUGGAAAGUCCGACGGUACAGGGUGAUAGUCCCGUACACCAAAAUGCACAGGCUGUGAACUCGAAGAGUAGGGCGGGACACGUGGUAUCCUGUCUGAAUAUGGGGGGACCAUCCUCCAAGGCUAAAUACUCCUGACUGACCGAUAGUGAACCAGUACCGUGAGGGAAAGGCGAAAAGAACCCCGGCGAGGGGAGUGAAAAAGAACCUGAAACCGUGUACGUACAAGCAGUGGGAGCACCUUCGGGUGUGACUGCGUACCUUUUGUAUAAUGGGUCAGCGACUUAUAUUCUGUAGCAAGGUUAACCGUAUAGGGGAGCCGCAGGGAAACCGAGUCUUAACUGGGCGUUAAGUUGCAGGGUAUAGACCCGAAACCCGGUGAUCUAGCCAUGGGCAGGUUGAAGGUUGGGUAACACUAACUGGAGGACCGAACCGACUAAUGUUGAAAAAUUAGCGGAUGACUUGUGGCUGGGGGUGAAAGGCCAAUCAAACCGGGAGAUAGCUGGUUCUCCCCGAAAGCUAUUUAGGUAGCGCCUCGUGAACUCAUCUUCGGGGGUAGAGCACUGUUUCGGCUAGGGGGUCAUCCCGACUUACCAACCCGAUGCAAACUACGAAUACCGAAGAAUGUUAUCACGGGAGACACACGGCGGGUGCUAACGUCCGUCGUGAAGAGGGAAACAACCCAGACCGCCAGCUAAGGUCCCAAAGUCAUGGUUAAGUGGGAAACGAUGUGGGAAGGCACAGACAGCCAGGAUGUUGGCUUAGAAGCAGCCAUCAUUUAAAGAAAGCGUAAUAGCUCACUGGUCGAGUCGGCCUGCGCGGAAGAUGUAACGGGGCUAAACCAUGCACCGAAGCUGCGGCAGCGACACUAUGUGUUGUUGGGUAGGGGAGCGUUCUGUAAGCCUGCGAAGGUGACCUGUGAGGGUUGCUGGAGGUAUCAGAAGUGCGAAUGCUGACAUAAGUAACGAUAAAGCGGGUGAAAAGCCCGCUCGCCGGAAGACCAAGGGUUCCUGUCCAACGUUAAUCGGGGCAGGGUGAGUCGACCCCUAAGGCGAGGCCGAAAGGCGUAGUCGAUGGGAAACAGGUUAAUAUUCCUGUACUUGGUGUUACUGCGAAGGGGGGACGGAGAAGGCUAUGUUAGCCGGGCGACGGUUGUCCCGGUUUAAGCAUGUAGGCUGGUUGUCCAGGCAAAUCCGGAUAAUCAAGGCUGAGGUGUGAUGACGAGGCACUACGGUGCUGAAGUAACAAAUGCCCUGCUUCCAGGAAAAGCCUCUAAGCAUCAGGUAACAUUAAAUCGUACCCCAAACCGACACAGGUGGUCAGGUAGAGAAUACCAAGGCGCUUGAGAGAACUCGGGUGAAGGAACUAGGCAAAAUGGUGCCGUAACUUCGGGAGAAGGCACGCUGGUGUGUAGGUGAAGUCCCUGCGGAUGGAGCUGAGACCAGUCGAAGAUACCAGCUGGCUGCAACUGUUUAUUAAAAACACAGCACUGUGCAAACACGAAAGUGGACGUAUACGGUGUGACGCCUGCCCGGUGCCGGAAGGUUAAUUGAUGGGGUUAUCCGUAAGGAGAAGCUCUUGAUCGAAGCCCCGGUAAACGGCGGCCGUAACUAUAACGGUCCUAAGGUAGCGAAAUUCCUUGUCGGGUAAGUUCCGACCUGCACGAAUGGCGUAAUGAUGGCCAGGCUGUCUCCACCCGAGACUCAGUGAAAUUGAACUCGCUGUGAAGAUGCAGUGUACCCGCGGCAAGACGGAAAGACCCCGUGAACCUUUACUAUAGCUUGACACUGAACAUUGAGCCUUGAUGUGUAGGAUAGGUGGGAGGCUUUGAAGCGUGGACGCCAGUCUGCGUGGAGCCAACCUUGAAAUACCACCCUUUAAUGUUUGAUGUUCUAACGUUGGCCCCUGACCGGGGUUGCGGACAGUGUCUGGUGGGUAGUUUGACUGGGGCGGUCUCCUCCCAAAGCGUAACGGAGGAGCACGAAGGUUAGCUAAUCCUGGUCGGACAUCAGGAGGUUAGUGCAAUGGCAUAAGCUAGCUUGACUGCGAGCGUGACGGCGCGAGCAGGUGCGAAAGCAGGUCAUAGUGAUCCGGUGGUUCUGAAUGGAAGGGCCAUCGCUCAACGGAUAAAAGGUACUCCGGGGAUAACAGGCUGAUACCGCCCAAGAGUUCAUAUCGACGGCGGUGUUUGGCACCUCGAUGUCGGCUCAUCACAUCCUGGGGCUGAAGUAGGUCCCAAGGGUAUGGCUGUUCGCCAUUUAAAGUGGUACGCGAGCUGGGUUUAGAACGUCGUGAGACAGUUCGGUCCCUAUCUGCCGUGGGCGCUGGAGAAUUGAGGGGGGCUGCUCCUAGUACGAGAGGACCGGAGUGGACGCAUCACUGGUGUUCGGGUUGUCAUGCCAAUGGCACUGCCCGGUAGCUAAAUGCGGAAGAGAUAAGUGCUGAAAGCAUCUAAGCACGAAACUUGCCCCGAGAUGAGUUCUCCCUGAGACUUUAAGUCUCCUGAAGGAACGUUAAAGACGAUGACGUUGAUAGGCCGGGUGUGUAAGCGCAGCGAUGCGUUGAGCUAACCGGUACUAAUGAACCGUGAGGCUUAACCUU
rnacentral:rRNA from 1 species